AGCUAGCCCUAAAGUCUCAUGGGACCACAUAACCAAAGACUGUCUAUAGCAUCUCUAUCUAUUCCCAUAGCAUCAAAUUGUUUUGCACCGUCUGCGAAACAUCUAAAUUUGGGGUAUACAAUAGAUCAAGCGGCGCAGAUUACGACGCCGAUGGUUCUGGCUCUUUCCUCGUCCUCCCCUUGUUUACAACCUUUGUAGCCAGCACGGUAUUAGGCUCCUUGGUGUAGAUGAUACAGUCGUCGAGAGUGUAGAUCCAGUCCUCGAUCACCGCUACCGGAGGCCGCCGAACCCGCACGCCAAGGCGGCUGGGCAGGGGUGGUGGCGGAGGCUGGCGCAUAAGCAGAUCCAAGACGUGGACGUAUGAUUUGUGAAACCCACAUUCGCAAGCAUAGCAAAUAAUGGUGGCCCUCGAUAGCUCGGGGAGGGCGCAAGACACGCAUGGGUUCUUCCCCCACCCCACUACUCCCGGGUGCUAUAUUGACGGGGGCACCUCCACCGACGAACCAUGUUAGAGAGCGACGGGGGCCACCAUUAUUUGCAACAGGUGCAAUUACGAGCAUAGCGAUGGGGAGGGGGAAGGAGGAGAUUAGAGAUUGAGCAAGGUAAAGGAGAAGCUCA
rnacentral:lncRNA from 1 species